GGAUCAUUACCGUGGGGCUUCGGCCCCGUCGUGAUAGAACCCUUGCCUUUUUGAGUACCGUCCGUUUCCUCGGCAGGCUCGCCUGCCAAUGGGGACCCAAAACCAAACUCUUUUUAUCAUCUGUACCAGUCUGAAAAACAAACAAAAGUUAAAACUUUCAACAACGGAUCUCUUGGUUCUGGCAUCGAUGAAGAACGCAGCGAAAUGCGAUAAGUAGUGUGAAUUGCAGAAUUCAGUGAAUCAUCGAAUCUUUGAACGCACAUUGCGCCCUUUGGUAUUCCUUAGGGCAUGCCUGUCCGAGCGUCAUUUGUACCCUCAAGCUUUGCUUGGUGUUGGGCGUCUUGUCUCUAGCUUUGCUGGAGACUCGCCUUAAAGUAAUUGGCAGCCGGCCUACUGGUUUCGGAGCGCAGCACAAGUCGCACUCUCUAUCAGCAAAGGUCUAGCAUCCAUUAAGCCUUUUUUUCAACUUUUGACCUCGGAUCAGGUAGGGAUACCCGCUGAACUUAAGCAUAUCAAUAAGCGGAGGA
rnacentral:rRNA from 1 species